rnacentral:misc_RNA from 1 species
CGAUAAAUUAAACAUAAAUUCUCUUGCUCGUUAUAUCCAACAGUCAAAGUUAAUAUGUUUAUUAUCAGCUAUUCAGCUCAACAAGCGUCAUAGUAUUUCAAUUUGUUGACCAAACGAGAAGGUAUCUGAAAGAGUAGCGAUUUAAUGUGCACGAAAAUGAGUGUGACAUUGUUAUUUAUGAUUUUAAUCUUUAAAUUUGUGGAUGGAGUUCAAGGAUCACGAUCGUCUGCUUUUAAUUUCCAUGAAGAGGAUGCUGAAAAACAACAAAAAGCAACCGAAGAGCUCGUUAAAAGGAUUCUCCCCGAUUACUUUUUGUACUUUAAAGUGUCCGUGGUGUCAAAUUUUAGCCAGGACUCUUUUCAAAUUUUUAGUUCGGGAAAUGGAACGGUAUUUAUUACAGGGAGGUCCGGAGUGGAUGUAGCGAGCGGGCUUAAUUAUUACUUGAAAUAUUACUGCUACUGCCAAAUUUCGUGGCAAAAUAAACAGUUAAACCUGCCGAAGCAGUUACCAGCGGUUAAUGUCACAAUUAGCUAUAACGAUAGAUUUCGAUAUUACCAAAACAUAUGUACAAGUAGCUACAGUUUUGUUUGGUGGAAUUGGAGCCAGUGGGAAAAGCACAUCGACUGGAUGGCCCUCAACGGUUAUAACUUAGUUCUUGCACCUAAUGGUCAAGAAUUUAUCUGGAAUUUAAUUUAUAAAGAGAUCGGUAUGACGCAGCAAGAAAUAGACGAGCACUUUACUGGACCUGCAUUUUUAGCUUGGAAUAGAAUGGGCAAUUUGCGUAAAUGGGGAGGUCCAUUGUCAGAAUUUUGGCACAACAGGUCUUUUACUUUGCAAACAAAUACGCUUUCGCGUAUGAGGAGUUUAGGAAUCGUACCAGUCCUUCCGGGGUUUGCAGGACAUGUUCCAAGAGCAUUUAAAAGAUUAUUUCCAACAGCUAAUUUGACGAAAAUGGAGGAAUGGAGUAACUUUAAUGACUCGUAUAGCAGCCCUUAUUUAUUGGAUGCCAAUGAUGGUUUGUUUGAAACAAUUGGAGAAAAGUACUAUAAAAACCUUAACAAAUUUUACGGCGUUGUCCAAAAUAAUAAUAAAACCAAAAAUACUAUGUACAGUGCGGACGUAUUUAACGAAAUGUCUCCAGUAUCAACCGAUGAAUCGUACAUAAGUAGUGUCGGCAGUGGCGUUUACAAAACGAUGGUAAAGAAUGACCCAGGGGCUAUUUGGCUAAUGCAGGGAUGGCUUUUUGUAUAUGAUCCGUUUUGGACUAAAGAAAGAGCAAAAGCACUGGUGACAUCGGUGCCUUUUGGAAAAAUGAUUAUUCUCGAUCUUCAAUCCGAGCAAUUUCCGCAGUAUGACCGAUUUGAUUCAUAUUUCGGUCAACCAUUUAUAUGGUGUAUGCUCCACAAUUUUGGAGGAACUCUAGGCAUGUAUGGUUCAGCUCAUAUCAUAAACAAGGAACCGAUUCGGGCAAGAAACGAAACAACAAUGAUAGGAGUUGGAAUAACAGCAGAAGGUAUUAAUCAAAAUUAUGUAAUUUAUGACCUCAUGAGUGAAAUGUCUUGGAGAGAUGAGCCAGUCGAUUUGACAGAAUGGUUCGAUAAUUAUUCACGAAGGCGAUACGGUCAAAUAAAUAUGUCAGCAAAUCAAACGUGGCAAAUUUUAAAGAGUACUUUGUACAAUUUUACGGGAACAGAACGUUUAAGAGGGAAAUACAGCAUUAACAGUCGUCCAUCAUUGCAUUUGAAAGAUUGGAUGUGGUAUGAGAAUAGUGACUUGUUCCAUGCCUUCGAAACAUUUUUGGAUGCUUCAGAUAGUCUUGCAGAUUCAGAAACGUACAAACACGAUAUCGUUGAUUUAACCCGUCAAGUACUUCAAAUUUUGGGAGACGAAUACCAUAAAAAAAUUGUUAAGGCAUACAAAAGUCGGUAUUUGAUAGAGUUGAAAUACUUAAAACAAGACAUCUUGGAUUUAUUUACUGAUUUGGAUCUAAUACUUGCUUCUAAUGAAAAUUUUCUUCUGGGAAAAUGGUUAAAGGAUGCAAAGAACGUUGCGGACAACCCAAGUGUAGGAAAUUGCUCAGUUUGAAUACAAUGCCAGAAAUCAGAUAACAUUAUGGGGUCCAAACGGAGAAAUAGUAGAUUAUGCAAAUAAACAAUGGGCAGGUGUAGUGGCAGACUAUUUUGAACCAAGAUGGGAAAUAUAUUUGAGUGCUCUGGAAAAAAGCUUAUCAACAGGUGAAGCCUACAAUGAAACU